CUGUGACAUACCUAUAACGUUGCCUCGGCGGGAACAGACGGCCCCGUAACACGGGCCGCCCCCGCCAGAGGACCCCCUAACUCUGUUUCUAUAAUGUUUCUUCUGAGUAAACAAGCAAAUAAAUUAAAACUUUCAACAACGGAUCUCUUGGCUCUGGCAUCGAUGAAGAACGCAGCGAAAUGCGAUAAGUAAUGUGAAUUGCAGAAUUCAGUGAAUCAUCGAAUCUUUGAACGCACAUUGCGCCCGCCAGUAUUCUGGCGGGCAUGCCUGUUCGAGCGUCAUUACAACCCUCAGGCCCCCGGGCCUGGCGUUGGGGAUCGGCGGAAGCCCCCUGCGGGCACAACGCCGUCCCCCAAAUACAGUGGCGGUCCCGCCGCAGCUUCCAUUGCGUAGUAGCUAACACCUCGCAACUGGAGAGCGGCGCGGCCACGCCGUAAAACACCCAACUUCUGAAUGUUGACCUCGAAUCAGGUAGGAAUACCCGCUGAACUUAAGCAUAUCAA
rnacentral:rRNA from 1 species